GAUGAACGCUGGCGGUGUGCCUAAAACAUGCAAGUCGAGCGGCAGCGGACCUUCGGGUGCCGGCGAGCGGCGGACGGCUGAGUAACGCGUGGGAACGUACCCCAAAGUGAGGGAUAACGCACCGAAAGGUGUGCUAAUACCGCAUGUGAUUUUUGGAUUAAAGUAUUUAUACGCUAUGGGAACGGCCUGCGUCGGAUUAGGUUGUUGGUGAGGUAAUGGCUCACCAAGCCGACGAUCCGUAGCUGGUUUGAGAGGAUGAUCAGCCAGACUGGAAAUGAGACACGGUCCAGACUCCUACGGGAGGCAGCAGUUAGGAAUUUUCCCCAAUGGGCGAAAGCCUGAUGGAGCAACACCGCGUGAAGGAUGAAGGCCUUAGGGUUGUAAACUUUUUUUGUAUACGAAGAAUAUGACGG
rnacentral:rRNA from 1 species